rnacentral:rRNA from 1 species
GACGAACGCUGGCGGCGUGCUUAACACAUGCAAGUCGUACGGUAAGGCCCUUUCGGGGGUACACGAGUGGCGAACGGGUGCGUAACACGUGCGUAACCUGCCCACAACUUUGGGAUAACGCUAUGAAACUGGGGCUAAUACUGGAUAUGUGCUCCUGCUGCAUGGUGGGGGUUGGAAAGCUCCGGCGGGUGUGGGUGGACUCGCGGCCUAUCAGCUUGUUGGUGGGGUAGUGGCCUACCAAGGCGGGGACGGGUAGCCGGCCUGAGAGGGUGACCGGCCACAGUGGGACUGAGAUACGGCCCAGACUCCUACGGGAGGCAGCAGGGGGGAAUAUUGCACAAUGGGCGCAAGCCUGAUGCAGCAACGCCGCGUGCGGGAUGACGGCCUUCGGGUUGGAAACCGCUUUCAGCAGGGACGAAGCUUUUUGUGACGGUACCUGCAGAAGAAGCACCGGCUAACUACGUG